rnacentral:rRNA from 1 species
AACGAACGCUGGCGGCAGGCUUAACACAUGCAAGUCGAGCGCCCCGCAAGGGGAGCGGCAGACGGGUGAGUAACGCGUGGGAACCUACCCUUUUCUACGGAAUAACGCAUGGAAACGUGUGCUAAUACCGUAUACGCCCUGAGGGGGAAAGAUUUAUCGGAGAAGGAUGGGCCCGCGUUGGAUUAGCUAGUUGGUGGGGUAAAGGCCUACCAAGGCGACGAUCCAUAGCUGGUCUGAGAGGAUGAUCAGCCACAUUGGGACUGAGACACGGCCCAAACUCCUACGGGAGGCAGCAGUGGGGAAUAUUGGACAAUGGGCGCAAGCCUGAUCCAGCAAUGCCGCGUGAGUGAUGAAGGCCUUAGGGUUGUAAAGCUCUUUUACCCGGGAUGAUAAUGACAGUACCGGGAGAAUAAGCUCCGGCUAACUCCGUGCCAGCCGCCGCGGUAAUAC